rnacentral:rRNA from 1 species
AGUGAACGCUGGCGGUAGGCCUAACACAUGCAAGUCGAACGGCAGCACAGUAAGAGCUUGCUCUUACGGGUGGCGAGUGGCGGACGGGUGAGGAAUACAUCGGAAUCUACUUUUUCGUGGGGGCUAACGUAGGGAAACUUACGCUAAUACCGCAUACGACCUACGGGUGAAAGCAGGGGAUCUUCGGACCUUGCGCGAUUGAAUGAGCCGAUGUCGGAUUAGCUAGUUGGCGGGGUAAAGGCCCACCAAGGCGACGAUCCGUAGCUGGUCUGAGAGGAUGAUCAGCCAGACUGGGAGUGAGACACGGUCCAGACUCCGACGGGAGGCAGCAGUGGGGAAUAUUGGACAAGGGGCGCAAGCCUGAUCCAGCCAUACCGCGUGGGUGAAGAAGGCCUUCGGGUUGUAAAGCCCUUUUGUUGGGAAAGAAAAGCAGCAGGUUAAUACCCCGCUGUUCUGACGGUACCCAAAGAAUAAGCACCGGCUAACUUCGUG